rnacentral:rRNA from 1 species
AGCUAGUAAGACCCCUGAAAGACUAUCAGGUUGAUAGGUUGGGGGAGGUGUAAGUACAGUAAUUGUAUUCAGCUGACCAAUACUAAUAGGUCGAGGGCUUGAUCAAAUAUUUAUUAU